UCAGCACGAGGCUGGGCCACCACAGCCAAGUGUUUCAAUUCCUGAAGAGCUUCCAGAAGAAAUUAGUAUGUAAUGACCGCACUCUGCAAGAAGAAAGGCCCAUUAUGGCUCUCGCUGACUGUACUUGGCUUUCAUUUGCAAGCUAAAUGGAUGCGCGCGAAGCUCAGCAUUCAGGGAAGGAACUGUUGCAAAUGAGAUGGGCCUCGCCGUGUUGGGUGACUGAUGCACUCCUACGUCCAGAUGGUACAGACAGGGCUCUAGAAACCAGCUCGCGCUCUGUCUGCCUGUCCCAUCGCUUCCUAUUCUGUGGGCCUUUUGUCAUCAGCAG